rnacentral:rRNA from 1 species
AUUGAACGCUGGCGGCAGGCUUAACACAUGCAAGUCGAGCGGGGAAAGAUAAAUAGCUUCCUGUCACGGCGGCGGAGGGGCGGGUGAUUGUUAGAAAUAUCGCUAUUUAUGGGUUCCAGCAUGUCGACGGGGAUACAAUUACCGCAUACGUCCUACGGGACUAAGCGGGGAACCUUCGGACCUUGCGCCCUUACAUGAGCCUAAGUCGGAUUAGCUGGUUAGUGGGGUAAAGGGCUACCGACGCGACGAUCUGUAGCGGGGCUGAGAGGAUGAUCCGCCACACUGGGACUGAGACACGGCUCAGACUCCUACGGGAGGCAGCAGUGGGGAAUAUUGGACAAUGGGGGGAAACCUGGUCCAGGCAUGCCGGGUGUGUGAAGAAGGCCUUUUGGUUGUAAAGCACUUUAAGCGAGGAGGAGGCUACCGAGAUUAAUACUCUUGGAUAGUUGACGUUACUCGCAGAAUAAGCACCGGCUAACUCUGUG